rnacentral:rRNA from 1 species
UGGGGAAUAUUGGACAAUGGGCGAAAGCCUGAUCCAGCCAUGCCGCGUGUGUGAAGAAGGUCUUCGGAUUGUAAAGCACUUUAAGUUGGGAGGAAGGGCAGUAAGCGAAUACCUUGCUGUUUUGACGUUACCGACAGAAUAAGCACCGGCUAACUCUGUGCCAGCAGCCGCGGUAAUACAGAGGGUGCAAGCGUUAAUCGGAAUUACUGGGCGUAAAGCGCGCGUAGGUGGUUCGUUAAGUUGAAUGUGAAAGCCCCGGGCUCAACCUGGGAACUGCAUCCAAAACUGGCGAGCUAGAUUAGGGCAGAGGGUGGUGGCAUUUCCUGUGUAGCGGUGGAUUGCGUAGAUAUAGGAAGGAACACCAGUGGCGAAGGCGACCACCUGGGCUCAUACUGACACUGAGGUGCGAAAGCGGGGGGAGCAAACAGG